rnacentral:rRNA from 1 species
GACGAACGCUGGCGGCGUGCCUAAUACAUGCAAGUCGAGCGGACCGACGGGAGCUUGCUCCCUUAGGUCAGCGGCGGACGGGUGAGUAACACGUGGGUAACCUGCCUGUAAGACUGGGAUAACUCCGGGAAACCGGGGCUAAUACCGGAUGCUUGAUUGAACCGCAUGGUUCCAAUCAUAAAAGGUGGCUUUUAGCUACCACUUACAGAUGGACCCGCGGCGCAUUAGCUAGUUGGUGAGGUAACGGCUCACCAAGGCGACGAUGCGUAGCCGACCUGAGAGGGUGAUCGGCCACACUGGGACUGAGACACGGCCCAGACUCCUACGGGAGGCAGCAGUAGGGAAUCUUCCGCAAUGGACGAAAGUCUGACGGGGCAACGCCGCGUGAGUGAUGAAGGUAUUCGGAUCGUAAAACUCUGUUGUUAGGGAAGAACAAGUACCGUUCGAAUAGGGCGGCACCUUGACGGUACCUAACCAGAAAGCCACGGCUAACUACGUGCCAGCAGCCGCGGUAAUACGUAGGUGGCAAGCGUUGUCCGGAAUUAUUGGGCGUAAAGCGCGCGCAGGCGGUUUCUUAAGUCUGAUGUGAAAGCCCCCGGCUCAACCGGGGAGGGUCAUUGGAAACUGGGGAACUUGAGUGCAGAAGAGGAGAGUGGAAUUCCACGUGUAGCGGUGAAAUGCGUAGAGAUGUGGAGGAACACCAGUGGCGAAGGCGACUCUCUGGUCUGUAACUGACGCUGAGGCGCGAAAGCGUGGGGAGCGAACAGG